GUCCCUGUAGCACAAUGGAUAGUGUGUUAAACUUUUAAUCCAAAGGUCGUGGGUUCAAAUCCCACCUGGGAUG